GAAUUCGCCCUUAAAGGUUGAUCAUGGCUCAAGACGAAAACUGGUUCGCCGCCUAAUGCUUGUCUGUCAAAACAAAGAGAUGGAGCUUGCUUCCUGAAUCUAGUGGCCAACGGGUGAGUAACACAUGAUGAACCUGCCUCUGAUAGGGGGACAACAUUUGGAAACCACUGCUAAUACCGCAUAAACCCACAGGUGCGGCAUCGACCAUAGGGAAAAGGAACAAUCCGCUUUGAGAUGGCCUCUCCUCCGAUUAGCUAGUUGGUGAGGUAACGGACCGCCCAUGCAACGAUCCGUAUGCGGAGUGAUACGCUGAACGGCCACAUUUGGGACUGAGACACGGCCCACACUCCUACGGGAGGCAUCAGUGGGGAAUAUUGCACUUUGGGGGAAACCCUGAUGCAUCUACGCCUCGUGGAAGAAGAAUGUUUUGAGAUUGUACAUUCGUGUUGUUGAGGAAGAUAAUGACGGUACUCGACAAGGAAGCCACGGCUAACUACGUGCCAGCAGCCGCGGUAAUACGUAGGUCACAAGCGUUAUCCGGAAUUACUGGGUGUAAAGGGAGCGCAGGCGGGAUGACAAGUCAGAAGUGAAAUCUAUGGGCUCAACCCAUAAACUGCUUUCAAAACUGUUUUUCUUGAGUAGAGCAGAGGCAGGCGGAAUUCCGAGUGUAGCGGUGAAAUGCGUAGAUAUUGGGAGGAACACCAGUGGCGAAGGCGGCUUACUGGGCUCCAACUGACGCUGAGGCUCGAAAGCAUGGGGAGCAAACAGGAUUAGAUACCCUGGUAGUCCACGCCGUAAACGAUGAU
rnacentral:rRNA from 1 species